ensembl:lncRNA
CUUGACUAGAGCCUGCUAGCUAUAGCAUCUUGACUAGAGCCUGCUAGCUAUAGCAUCUUGACUAGAGCCUGCUACCUGUCAGAAUGAUAAAUCAUCUAGUUAGUUCAUUGUUACAUCAACACCAGUUCUGUUUCACAUUCUAACUGACAUUUUCCUCACAUUAUCAGUGUCUUGGUACACACAUUCAUUACUGUGACAUGGUACACACGUUCAUUACUGUGACAAAGUAACCUAUUUGUCUGUUGGUGUUGCCUCAACCCCUUGUCAUUUCCUGUAAUAAAGUGGACUGUGGGCGGGAGGAGAUUUUCCUCUGUUUCCCUAGCGUUGAGAGUUUAGCCUUAACUCUCCCAGCCCGAUGCUGUUGGUUAACUAGCGUUGAGAGUUUAGCCUUAACUCUCCCAGCCUGAUGCUGUUGGUUAACUAGCGUUAGGAGGGUCGUAAAGCAGACAGAUGGAAGCAUAGGACCGUGUGGCGGUUAUCAAACACUGGUUACAGCAGGACGUUUAGAGCAGAGAGAAGUGUGUGUACACCAAACUGGAGAGGUGUGUGUGUGUGUGUUCCUCUUUCUCCACCUGCAGAUCAGGUUAGAUCAGUUUUGUGAAAUUCGGAUGCAAAUUCUCUGCUUCUAUUUGCCUAUGAUUUGUCCAUAUUUCUCUGCAAUGAAAAUCCUUCUGCAAGUGUGUGUCAGUCAGGUACUGCAAUCAUGUCAGAGCUAACAGGCUACAGAGUGUCUGAUAAUAACAGCUAACCACUUCCUUCCUUCCCCACUUAAAAAGAGAGGUAGAAACUGUUCAUAGCUGCAGUAGUCGAGUGCACCAGUAGUCGAGUGCACCAGUAGUCGAGUGCACCAGUAGUCGAGUGCACCAGUAGUCGAGUGCACCUGGCCUGACUGCAUCAACAUGUCCGUUGCAUUCCAAAUGGCACCCUGUUCCCUACAUUGGGCCCUGUAGGCCCGGGUCCAAGAUAGGGUGCCAUUUGGGAUGCGGUUCUCACUCACCUCUAGGGCCCUCACUAGGACAGUCCAGCUGUCUCACUAUUGAACUGGACCGUUUUAGUGUUCAUUAGGGCACACCGUAGCAAAAUGUUUUGCAAUAGAAAAUUAACCUUUGUGUUGUUAUUGGAGACGUUCAGGUAGAAUCUCUCCAUUUUAAUUUGUUGUUGUUGAACCACACCGACGCAUCAGUUCUGCUGUGUUAAACCAGACGCUAACUGUGUUGUGGUCUGUAACAUGUUGAUGAUGCUUUGUGUCUGGACAUACAGACAGAGAAUAUCUGUUAAAAUGACUAUUUAAAUACACAAAGUGUUAAUGAAAGAUGUGUAUAAACGGGAUUGCAACUUUCACUGGGAACAGGGGGGACAUGUCCCCCCCCCACAUUCGGAAAUUGUAUUUUUGUCGUCCGCCCCCCAGUUUUAUCAUUGGAACGUGAUACUAAACGAGGCAACGGUGUGCUUUAGGACCAUGCGGAUGCCUCUGAGGUUGGGUAGGCUGUUUGGAGUGUUUAUCUGACUGGAUACAUUUUGUUUUUGAUAUUUCCUCCCCAACUUCUAAAACCAAAGAUUCGCCCCUGUGUAUAAAUAUGUGUGUUUGGCUUCAGAAAGAAAAGCAUUAUUGAAGAAGACGACUUCUUCACAGGUAUCUUAUCUGUACAGGGAUGCAUUAAGGUGGCUGACUGUUCCUUUUUUACCCUGUGUGAGAUUGGUCAUUUUUCUAGUGUGGGCAACAGUGAGUGAAUAUGCCAGUGAACAGACCUUAUUCCAGGUAUCUUAAUAGUGACGCCUAUAUUAAUUCUCAGUCAUAACUCAGUCUACGUCCCAAAUCGCAACAUAUUUCCUAUACAGUGACCUACUUUUUUACCAUAAUCCAUAGGGAAUAACCCGGGUCCAUUCAUCCCAAAUGGCACCCUAUUCCCUAUAUAGUGACCUACUUUUUACCAUAAUCCAUAGGGAAUAACCCGGGUCCAUUCAUCCCAAAUGGCACCCUAUUCCCUAUAUAGUGCACUAGGGACCAGAAGUACUGUAAAGGGAAUAGGGUGCCAUUUUGGAUGAAUCCUAAGACUGACCAAUGAGCAUCAAGUAAUGUAAUCACAAAUAACUUUGGUUAUGGAGCUCAGAGUUAUGAGAGCCUGCCAGACUUCUGGUCCUUCCUCCUUGAUUGGUUAAUCAAUGUAGAUAUCCAGGUAAAGGUCAAAUAUUCUGGCUCUGCUUCUUUGUUGAUUUGAAUCAUUGUACUUUUUCUAUCUGUUAUUAAAGGCUCUCUCUCUGAUUUCAGUCGAGCCAUAAAUAGUGUAAUUGUUUCAACAUUUUAUCUCCUAGAAAAGAAAAUGCUAACAGAAUUUAUUUGUUACAGUAUAGUCAUAGUAGCCUGGUUGACGAGACUAUAUUCACAGUUCUCUCUCCUUUAGCACUAACAGUCAAGUAUUCACAAUUACCCACGUUUAAAACCAUGAGGCUGCAAUGAAAGCAACAUGGAGGAUUCUGUUGCUAUUUCCUACGUAUAUUCCUAUAUAUCAAUUACCCACGUUUCCUAUAUUUGUGUUGAAGCUGUAUAUUAUCUCUUGCUAUUCUUUGUCUUUGUAUGAAUAAUGUAUGUUUACACGCUCUCCUUACUCUCCCAAAUAACUGCUCUGUUUUGUAAUAAAAUACAAGCUGACCAUCCUUACUCCACCCGUCUGGUAUGUUUCAGAGUCAUGUUGCUGUGUUUGUUUACUGACCGACUGUAUUCACCUGCUCUGUUUUGUAAUAAAAUACAAGCUGACCAUCCUUACUCCACCCGUCUGGUAUGUUUCAGAGUCAUGUUGCUGUGUUUGUUUACUGACCGACUGUAUUCACCUGCUCUGUUUUGUAAUAAAAUACAAG